CUAUAUAGCACCUGCAUUGUACACACUGUGUGUGUUAACUGGAAAUGCACAGCGCAUACAAUGUGGAUUCUGUAGAA
rnacentral:pre_miRNA from 7 species